UGCAAUUUCUGUCUGGUGACUACUCUCUUGGCUUGCCAGUAUUGCUGAUUCAAAACGUUUUGUGACAGGAUGAUUGGAGGCCCCAAUAUUGAUAGUGGGAAUUUAGAAAAUCUUUUUAUUUUUGCAUGUUUGAGCCUUGCUGAGUGAAAAAUAAGAUCUUUUAUUAAACAAUGGAUUCUUACUGUGAUAACUUUAAAAGUAUUCUGUGGUAUAUUAAUGAAACCUUUCACAUUAUAAAUUAAUUUGAUAUUCAGAUUGAUUUUAAGUGUAUCUUCUUUCAGAUAAUAUAGCUUGUUUCUUACAUGGUUCAUUCCACUACAGCUUGGACUAUGCUCAACAUGUUCAUAUACCCAGCUACAGCCAGGAAGUUUGUCCAGUUUACUUUAAGACCCCAAGUAAAUGUAACAUAUUUGGGAUGUGUUGUAAGGGAUCAGGAAAACAAGUGUUUUAUCUUGUUGAUGAAAGCAACUCGGUUGGUAAAGGGGAAGACAACUUGUGAGCAUGGUACACCACUACCUGUAUUGGUGUUCCAUUUGGACAAUGCUGCUGGCCAGAAUAGAUACAAUAACUUGCUGUGGUAUUGUCUGUGGAGAAUUUACUAGGAUAUCACAGUUCAGUUGGUUGAAUUUUCAAAAAUGAUAGCAGGCCAUACUAAACUUGACCCUAAGUGGCACUUUGGAUUUUGAGAGAAUUGAUGAAGGAGGGUGAAUGCUUAGACCUUACAUGAUAUUGCAGACAGUGGAUCAGUCAUUGAAGGUCAUAAACAUUGCACACUGGUCAACAAUGAUUCAAAACCUGUCACAUUCUACCAGUGGAGAAAUUUCUUAUCACAUUGUUUUAAACCUUCAACAUGUUCAAAGAACAUUACCAAGUAUCAUUACUUUAUCAUGUCUGCAAAAACACUUGGAAUUGUUAGUGUUAAAAAUCUUAAGUGACAGUCCAGUUGUGACAGUCAGCAUACUAAAAUCUACUCCUCCUUAUGGAUGCAAUGCCGAACGAGUACUAUUUACAUGGAAUAACAAAAGCCGGACAAUGGUACCUAUAUUAAGGGGACGCAUAUUGCUACAUUCACAGUUCAUACAGAAAUGAGGAAGGGGUGCAUAUUCAAGAAAUCGAUGGUGGGAAGAUAAAAAACAUAUUCCUAAACUGAUAUAAUACUGAUGGACACCUGUAAUAUUCAGUACUUUGUGGAUAAGGAUGUGGUACUAUGAAUGUAAUAGGAAAACGGAGGUCUUUGUGAAAGUACAUUCAACACAAAAUAUUAAGCAUUUGUAUAAGGAAAAAACAGGUUUUUUACAAUAACAGUGUUACAAAUAAUGUUGAAGGGAUGAAAUUUUCUUUCUAACACACCAGGUUUGCUUAAACAUGUAAAAAUUUAACGCCACGUCAUUUCAGCUCGGGAUGGACGCCAUAUUUCUCAUUGAUAAAAAAUGUAAACAAAAAAAUCAGAGUGGGAUUAGCAUUGCAAGGGCAUAACAUGACAUUCUACACAAUGAAUACCUUAGAACAGAUAUCUAAGAUGCUACACAGGUCAGGCGGGUUAAAUACAUAAUGUCGAUCACUUGAAAUUCAUCUUGAAAAGGUGGUUAUUUUUAGUUUAUUUACAUGUUUUUUAAUUUUCCCACGAAUUCUUGGCGAUUCACUACAAAAAGUAUUACUGCGCCGGACGAAAGGUAACCCUAAUAAACAACGGGAGACAACUUAGGUGUCAGCACGUGUAUGAUUUUUAAAAAAACAUGUCGAUGAUUACAAUUUCUUAUCAAAUAAUGAAUCCUAUUCAGAUAUUCGUCUUUAAUAUUAGAAAAUUAUUAAUUUCUGUGGACAUUUAUCAAAAAAUAUUACCUACAGUGGACUACUUUGCGCAUCAAACUGGUUUACGCUUCAGUUGUGAGGCUUUUCCGUUAUACUUUUUGACAACAAUAACAAAACACAAAAUGAAUCAAUAAAGUCACUUAUAAACCGACUGCUACUUACAUCAGUGUAAGUAUAGUUGUUGUUACAACAUUAUACUUGUUCAUUACGUUAUGAGAUAAAGUUUAUCUUGAACUGCAUAAUCCAUUAAUUACGUUUAGAUGAUAUUGCAUUUACAACUUAUCUGACCCCGUUUUUUUACGUGAAUGACAGCAUUCUCGUGCAACUCGUGCAAACAGAGUUAUGAAAAGUAUGGUGGAGAAUUCAAGGACAAAUUAUAAAUGACAUUAAAGUGAGGAUAACUGUAUAUUCCUCCAAUUUUGAUCAUUGACAUUCCAGCUGUGUAUUAGUAAGUUUUGUGAACAAGAUUAGAAUGUUACUUUUGCACAUAUACACAUUGAUUGGACCUCUCAACCAAAUUUCAUACCUUAUUUUAAGGAUUUUUAAGACAAUACAUUUUCAAAAGUUUGUUGAAUGUGUUUUGAUAUUUAAGUGCACUGUAGUUCAUGAAUACCAAGUUGAAAAUUAAUAAUGGCAACAUUUCUAGGCCCUUAUUGUAAGCCACUCGACUUCUGUAACGAUAAAUGUUUAAUGUAAUAAGGGGAAUAUACUCUUUUAGUUUUGGAAUAUGGCAUUCCUUGACCACCGUAUCUUUUGUUAUGCACUACUUUGUAAACAAACUAAAUAAUGUGUUUUAGCUUACA